CGAGUUUCCACACUGAUUAUUCUAGAUUUGUCAGCAACCUUUGUUAACAUGAACCAUUAAGUUUUGUUGAUUCAUUUGCAGAUACUGGCAAGGAUGGCCAAAUAUCAGUGUAGUGACUCUGGUCUCUCCUCCAUAGGAGGUCUCAGAGGGUGAUGUUGGACAAUUGCUCAUCUGCCCAGAGGAUUCUCAUGAAUGUGCAAUAUUACCUUCAUUCAUCUAGAGCCCUACGGAUGCAAUGAUCAUUUUAAAGUGAUUACUGCAGUAUAAGUGGCUGAAGGGAAGGGGCAGAUCCCGGAGCCACCAAUCCCCUCCAUGUUUCUGAUGGCCAUGCUCUGCCUACACCACAGCUGCCAUAACUGCUGUGAUCACAAGGGCAAGGCCUGCCUUUCACGGUGAUGUUUCAGCAGCAUGAAAACCACUUACCAUCCCUGAAAAAAAGAUUGCAAACUGUGAGCUGAGAAGAAAGAAUAAUGAACUAAUUCCCUUUGCCUUCUUGGAUUCUUGACCUUGCAAAAAAAAGCUGCAAUGAACUGAUUGGAAUUUCAUUUUGAGGUCAUCUCUGGUCUCAAUUGUCUUCCCUGAUACAUGUAUAUUCAAUAACCUUGUGAUGUUAGUGACAUAAUCCAAUCAGUAUUUCAAAUUUUCCAGUGCAGUCUCUGCUUGUCAUUUGGAUAUAUACAUGCAGCCACCAACAGGAAAAAAUAUUUUUUCCAGAUUACCAAAAUGGGUAUGGUAAAAUUGGAACGCAGGCUGGAUCAGGACAGAAGCUGGUGAAACCACUGACAAACAUGAAAAUGUCUGCAGAUAGAUCAGCCUCAGACUCAUAGUUGAUGCAGAUGAUAGAUACAAAUUCUUACUUAUGCUGGAUAUAAGGAAAAUAUUAUUUUACUCUGGGAGAGUGAUACAGUCCCCCAAAAGCUGUGGAGACCACAUUGCUGAAGAUAGUUUGGAGUUUCGUAUCCCUGGAGUUUUUCAAUUCUGAGAUAGCUCGAGCUACAGCUGACCUGAUCUACUGUUCCUUCCGACAUCUCCAUCAUUCUUUGAAAUCUACAUUAGACUGAACAUGGUUUUACUGCAGCACAUCUUGGCUAUGAUCCUAAAUCACACUUGUAGCUCUGCUUAUCAAGUAGCCAAUCCUUCCUAAUGCCAAUGACUGUAGAAGAAACUCAAGUCCCCAGGCAAUUCCUCAGAUGACUGCUUACAGCAGAAGACAAAGAAGAGGAUAAAAAGAAUUAAGUCAAGUUUUGAGAUACAGUACAGUAAGAGUCACCGGCAGGUGAGAUUACGAAGUUGUGGAACUGUUGUCUGCUAAUACAUACAACAAAAUACGAUAGCUAAAUCACCAACUUCAAAAUGAGUCAAGAACUCUGAAGUGCGGGUCAGACUGAAAAAGAUCAUCCUUCAUCUUCAUCAUCAAUGUUGUCUGGCAAUGAGGCACUGAACCUUCUUAUAAAUGAUGAAUUUUAAAGAAAGAAACUUUUAUUAUUGUUGCUGAGAAAAAGUGAAUAUAAUGUUGCAAAAUCAGUAAGAUUGAACUAAGAAAAUAAAAAGGAGUAGCACUGAUUUGUUCACUAAUUAUCAGAAGGAAAAAAGAUUUUCAUGCCUAUUUUACAUUAAGAUAGUAAGAGCCUGCUAAAACCUUCAGACAAAGCAC
ensembl:lncRNA